UUAUUGUAAAUUUAUAUUAAGUCUUGCCUGCUCAAUGAUAAUAUUUAUUAAAUAGCCGCAGUAUUUUGACUGUGCAAAGGUAGCAUAAUCAUUUGUCUUUUAAUUGUGGACUUGUAUGAAUGGUUUGAUGAGAUAUUAGCUUUCUUUAUAUAAAAUUGAUUAAUUUAAUUUCUUAGUUAAAAAGCUGAGAUUAUCUUAUAGGACGAGAAGACCCUAUAGAAUUUUAUGUAUAUAUUUAUAAAUUAUAUUUGGAUAUUUUUUAUUUUUAUGGAUUUAUAUAUUUUGUUGGGGUGACAGGGAAAUUUAUACAACUUUCUUUAUUUAUAUUUUAUUAAUUUAUAUAUUUAUGAUCCUUUUUUAAGGAUACUAAGAUUAAAUUACCUUAGGGAUAACAGCGUAAU
rnacentral:rRNA from 1 species